UAAUUGUAUAUUUUUACGUUCAUAUAUAUCCUUAUCCGCUAUAACACUGCCGGAUUAAUUCGCGAUGUUGUUGCCGCCAUAUUGUUACCGCUAAAGCGCACUGAAUGUUUAGGGCCGGAAGUCCGCAUUUCCGAAUUUCCGCAGGGCCCUUCCCCCCCAAUUUACCACAAACCUUACGUCGUCUUCUUUCUUCAGUAGUCAGCAAUCAAUGCUCCGCCGCAUGAUUGCCCUACAACUCCAUAUGCAAGGUAUAAUAUCCAUUUAAUAUAGGUAAUAUCCAUUGAUGGUAUUGCACAUUUGCCCAAGAUAUCCACUGCGGUAUUGCACAUUUGCCCAAGAUAUCCACUAUGUAAUUGCACAUUUGCCCAAGAUAUCCACCAUGGUAUUGCACAUUUGCCCAAGAUAUCCACCAUAAUAAUAAUGCACAUUUGCCCAAGAUAUCCACCAUAAUAAUAAUGCACAUUUGCCCAAGAUAUCCACUAUGGUAUUGCACAUUUGCCCAAGAUAUCCACCAUAAUGCACAUAUGCCCAAGAUAUCCACCAUGCAUGUUGUGGUAAGGUGGGGAAAUUUUGUUGUAAGUCCUGAAAAAGCUUUGGGAGAGAUCCUAGGGGCCUAUCCUAUGGCAUCUUAACAAUGACCUGCACAGUUAAUUUUUUCAGCUAAAACAUAUAGUGAUAGCAAGCUGCCUUUAUAGAAACAGCACUGAAAAACCCAUAUAUGCCACCCAUAUAGAAAUGACGUCCUAAUAAUCUGCACAGUUUAUUUUUUUAGCUAAAACAUAUAGUAAUAGCAAGCUGCUCUUUAUAGAAACAGCACUGAAAAACAUUGAAAUAUAGUACCUAGAUGUCAACCAUAUAGAAAUGACAUCUUAAUAACCUGCACAGUUUAUUUUUUAGCUAAAACAUAUAGUAAUAGCAGGCUGCUUUUUAUAGAAACAGUACUGAAUAACAUUGAAAUUUAGUACCUAAGAUGUCAACCAUAUAGAAAUGACAUCUUAAUAACCUGCAGUUUAUUUUUUAGCUAAAACAUAUAGUAAUAGCAGGCUGCCCAUAUAGAAACAACACUGAAAAACAUUGAAAUAUAGUACCUAAGAUGUCAACCAUAUAGAAAUGACAUCUUAAUAACUUGCAGUUUAUUUUUUAGCUAAAACAUAUAGUAAUAGCAGGCUGCCCAUAUAGAAACAACACUGAAAAACAUUGAAAUAUAGUACCUAAGAUGUCAACCAUAUAGAAAUGACAUCUUAAUAACCAGC